UACAGAGGUCUCAAGCGUUGUUCGGAAUUACUGGGCGUAAAGGGUGCGCAGGCUGCGCGGGAAGUCAAAUGUGAAAUUCAGGGGCUCAACCUCUGCAUUGCGCUUGAUACUUCCGCGCUCGAGCCUUGGAAAGGAGUCUGGAAUUCUCGGUGUAGCAGUGAAAUGCGUAGAUAUUCGGAGGAACACCAGUGGCGAAGGCGGCUCACUGGUCCAUUACUGACGCUGAGGUGCGAAAGCGUGGGGAGCAAACAGG
rnacentral:rRNA from 1 species